GGAGUGAUAUCAGGACGCGCGAGCUCAGUAAACACGGCAGCGGCGGCGGCUGGAGGCCGUGAGACAAGCCGGGGGACACGGCGCAAAACCCGGCCCGGACUCUCACCCGGCAGGAGCGGGCGCCGCACGCACCGGCACCCGGCUCCCGCCUCCCUCGCCUCGCCCUCCCCGCCCCUCCACGCCCCCAACCUCACUACUAUCCUGACUGGAAGCCGAGCUGCCAGAAAAGAGAGGAAGAAAAGAUUCUGGGGGAUCUCGGGAACGAAUCAACUUUUGACAUCGGUGCAUGACCAGGCAGAAACAUUGAAGCGUCACAGCAGUUGUCUGUCAUUCCUACCCAUGUGGAAAGAAAAAGGCAAAUGAGUGACUCGUUUUUAAAACCCAGCCUGCUAUGAAGCAAAGCUUCCAGAUGGGACCUAUGGACACAUCCUCAAUGCUGUUGCUCCAGAAUAGCAAAGAAAUUUGAGAUGCUAUAGCAAUGAUGAGAAAGAAAUUAUGUGGCUACCUCCCCAGACGUUGAUGAUAUCUCUCUGGAUGCCCAAAAGAAGAGCAUAUCAUGAAUAAGUACCUAUUCCAGGUUGUUCCGAGGCUCUGGCUCUGAGCCAAAGUUGGCAGUUCUAAGGAAUUGAACCAGAUUCCC